rnacentral:rRNA from 1 species
UACGUAGGGGGCAAGCGUUUAUCCGGAAUCAUUGGGCGUAAAGCGCGUGUAGGCGGUUCCGUAAGUCCGCUCUGAAAGCCCAGGGCUCAACCCUGGGAGGCGGGUGGAUACUACGGAACUGGAGUACGGAAGAGGAGAGUUGGAAUUCCGUGGUGUAGCGGUGAAAUGCGCAGAUAUCAGGAGGAACACCGGUGGCGAAGGCGGGUCUCUGGGCCGAUACUGACGCUGGAGGAGCGAAAGCGUGGGGAGCGAACAGG